rnacentral:rRNA from 1 species
AAGCGUGAUGCAGCAACGCCGCGUGCGGGAAGAAGGCCUUAGGGUUGUAAACCGCUUUCAGUUGGGACGAAGCUUCGCUGGUUAAGAGCUGGUUGGAGUGACGGUACCUUCAGAAGAAGCGCCGGCUAACUACGUGCCAGCAGCCGCGGUAGUACGUAGGGCGCGAGCGUUGUCCGGAAUCAUUGGGCGUAAAGCGCGUGUAGGCGGCUGAGUAAGUCUGCUGUGAAAGUCCAGGGCUCAACCCUGGGAUGUCGGCGGAUACUGCUCAGCUGGAGUACGGGAGGGGCGAGUGGAAUUCCUGGUGUAGCGGUGGAAUGCGCAGAUAUCAGGAGGAACACCUAUGGCGAAGGCAGCUCGCUGGAACGUUACUGACGCUGAGACGCGAAAGCGUGGGGAGCAAACAGGAUUAGAUACCCUGGUAGUCCACGCUGUAAACGAUGGAUACUAGGUGUGGGGGGUGUCAACUCCCUCCGUGCCGAAGC